rnacentral:lncRNA from 1 species
CAGAGGCAGGGCAGCUUUCUCAGCCCCCGAGCUCGCAAAGGUGACCCAGGGACAGACAAACUGUGCUGAAGUCAGAAAUCAACUGGCAUAUUCAGUCUGGAGGAAUCUCCCAGGGUACCAGUCGAAUGCAUUAAGAGUGUAUUUCUCCAGCAAGAAGUGAUGGGAAGAGCACAGAGCAAAAAGAAGAAAGAAGCAGGGAAGAAGAUGAAGAAAUAAUCUCUCGAAGGACGCAGUAAUACUACCAUCUAACUAAAAAGAAUUCAGACAUGCACACAAUCCUCAGGAAAAUUCAUCUCCACCCUCCCAACGGACUCUGACUACCACUGAUCCAAGGACCACUGGUGUGGAACCACUGUUUUGUCCGGUAAAUUUACACUUCAUAAGACACUUGAGGGCCAAAAUCUGUGAUGUGCAGUGAUGUAAUGUGGAAGUUCUGCCAGUUUAUUGUGUCACCAAAUAACUGCAUAUUGGCUUGCUAAUGGCAGUAAUCAGCAGGUCAAGUAAUAAUACAAUGGAGAAAAGAUAAACACAAAAAGCGGCAGAGAGAAAUCCUCCAGUGUUUGAGUAGAAGAAUAAGAAAAAGAGGUCAUUCUUUAGUACAGAAAUCUGGACUGCCCUAGCAAUCAAGGAUCCAAAGACUAGAG